rnacentral:rRNA from 1 species
UNGGAUAACCUACCUAUAAGACUGGGAUAACUUCGGGAAACCGGAGCUAAUACCGGAUAAUAUUUUGAACCGCAUGGUUCAAAAGUGAAAGACGGUCUUGCUGUCACUUAUAGAUGGAUCCGCGCUGCAUUAGCUAGUUGGCAAGGUAACGGCUUACCAAGGCAACGAUGCAUAGCCGACCUGAGAGGGUGAUCGGCCACACUGGAACUGAGACACGGUCCAGACUCCUACGGGAGGCAGCAGUG